rnacentral:rRNA from 1 species
AGCGAACGCUGGCGGCAGGCCUAACACAUGCAAGUCGAACGAACUCUUCGGAGUUAGUGGCGGACGGGUGAGUAACACGUGGGAACGUGCCUUUAGGUUCGGAAUAACUCAGGGAAACUUGUGCUAAUACCGAAUGUGCCCUUCGGGGGAAAGAUUUAUCGCCUUUAGAGCGGCCCGCGUCUGAUUAGCUAGUUGGGGAGGUAAAGGCUCACCAAGGCGACGAUCAGUAGCUGGUCUGAGAGGAUGAUCAGCCACAUUGGGACUGAGACACGGCCCAAACUCCUACGGGAGGCAGCAGUGGGGAAUCUUGCGCAAUGGGCGAAAGCCUGACGCAGCCAUGCCGCGUGAAUGAUGAAGGUCUUAGGAUUGUAAAAUUCUUUCACCGGGGACGAUAAUGACGGUACCCGGAGAAGAAGCCCCGGCUAACUUCGUGCCAGCCGCCGCAGUAAAAC